rnacentral:lncRNA from 1 species
AUGAAUAAAUGUUUGCCACCACUAGAAAUACAUCCUGGCCUAAAGUCCAAGCUCAUACUAUAGAAGGGGUCUCUGAUGUGAUGAUGGUUGAUAUUGACCUAGCUGGUUGCCAGAGGUAUACAAGACUCCUAUUGUUAAUAGCAUUGUAAAAGAGAAGAAAUCCCUUGUUCCUUUUAAGGUAAAUAUCAAGAGCUGACAUGUGGAAGAUGCUGAGUAUCCAAGGAAG